rnacentral:siRNA from 1 species
CAGCCAAACUCCCCACCUGAC